CUUUUUUUUCCAAUCCCACAGAUCUCACUUCCAUUUUUUUUUUUUUCCAAAAGAUAUGUUCUCCUCUGUUUCUUUUCCUUUCACUUCUUCAUCUUCCCCUUCUUUUCAACUUAUUGCUCCUCUCAUGUCCGUUCUUUCUUUCACUUGAAUAAGGUAUGGAGGGUUGUGAGGGAAGAAUCCGCCGUCGAUUGAGAAGAGACGUGAUCCAAUUAUUAUGGUGAAGAAGAAGAAGCAAAAUAGAUAAUUAACUUUGGCAUCUUCGAUUUAAAGUUUGGAUUUUUCUGAAAGAUAUUUAAGAAACUGAGACAGGAGGAAGAAGAAGAAGAAGAACAACAAGACGGCUUGCCGAGAGAGACAUGUUCAGAAUCAGUAGCGUACUGGCUGAAGAAGCUCCGGUGAGUGGAGCAGACAAAGCAACGAAGGAAAAACUCUGGAGGCGGCAGAGAGGAUGAAAGCAUAAAGCAUUUAGGUUUAGGGUUUUCUAUUUGGUUUAGAUUUUUUUUUUGUCAUCUGAGAAUUUUUCAUUCAACUUAACUGAAGCAUACAACA